ACCGGCGAUUUCCGAAUGGGGAAACCCAGUGUGAUUCGUCACACUAUCAUUAACUGAAUCCAUAGGUUAAUGAGGCGAACCGGGGGAACUGAAACAUCUAAGUACCCCGAGGAAAAGAAAUCAACCGAGAUUCCCCCAGUAGCGGCGAGCGAACGGGGAGGAGCCCAGAGCCUGAAUCAGCAUGUGUGUUAGUGGAAGCGUCUGGAAAGGCGCGCGAUACAGGGUGACAGCCCCGUACACAAAAGCGCAUGUGCUGUGAGCUCGAUGAGUAGGGCGGGACACGUGGUAUCCUGUCUGAAUAUGGGGGGACCAUCCUCCAAGGCUAAAUACUCCUGACUGACCGAUAGUGAACCAGUACCGUGAGGGAAAGGCGAAAAGAACCCCGGCGAGGGGAGUGAAAAAGAACCUGAAACCGUGUACGUACAAGCAGUGGGAGCACCCUUUGGGGUGUGACUGCGUACCUUUUGUAUAAUGGGUCAGCGACUUAUAUUCUGUAGCAAGGUUAACCGUAUAGGGGAGCCGCAGGGAAACCGAGUCUUAACCGGGCGUUAAGUUGCAGGGUAUAGACCCGAAACCCGGUGAUCUAGCCAUGGGCAGGUUGAAGGUUGGGUAACACUAACUGGAGGACCGAACCGACUAAUGUUGAAAAAUUAGCGGAUGACCUGUGGCUGGGGGUGAAAGGCCAAUCAAACCGGGAGAUAGCUGGUUCUCCCCGAAAGCU
rnacentral:rRNA from 1 species